AGCCCAAUGAGCCCGUUAGCGAAUAGCCCAAGCGAGAGAAAGGGGCGUAGAAUGAUGAGAUCAUGAAAUACUCAAAAGGGGAGAUGAUAGACGAUGCUUAAAACUAAGAAAUUUCAGUGAAUAUAGGGUUCAAUAUUUCUUGAUAAUUUCCCUCAAAAAAAGAAAAUUUCUUGAUAGUUUCAAAAAAUCCCAAAGAAAUGUUCAGAAGAAGGUUUCUCUCACUGCCUCUGGUUAUUGGAGCUUCCGUGAUAGGAGUUGUGUCGGGGAAAGCCAUAUUUGGGCCACCACUUGAUGAGUACUGGAAAAAGAAACUCGAGGAAGAAGCAGCAGCAGCAAAAGAGAAUGAUGUCAGCUCCGGUUAAAUGUUUUAAGAAGCUAGGAUAAUAGAAUCAGUAAUACCAGCCUUGAAUCACCAAGGAAGGAAUGUCUGCCCACUCUCUCUGUCAAACAGAAGAACCACUGCCUGUUUAUGUCAACUACACCUACUCAAAUUGUUCAUCUAAAGGGAACACAAUGCAGUGAUUUUUGUUCUUCACUGCAAGAAAAUUGUACUUAGUUAAUUGUUCAAUGUUAGUUAGAAGCAUUCCUACAUAACUCAAAAAAUAAUUCAAGUUGCAUCUAUGUUGAUCCAAGUUGAAAUGUUGCUGUAUGCUUAUCUGUGUUAAUUUGUCCCAGAAUAGUUCCCCCUUUUUCCGAGUAUAUAUGAAAAAACUUUAUUGGUUUCUUCUUA